UAUCUAUUUUUUUGGAUGCUGGUGUGCCGUGCCUCAAAAAAGGUUGAAAAACACUGCUCUAGACCACAAAUGGAUACUUUAAAUGUUUCCUUAAACGAGUUUGGACAAUUCUUGCCUGUGAGUCUAUAAAGCUGUUCAAUUAGUCAGAAAUGUAUGUUUAGGUCGAACGAGCGUUAGCAUUAGCCGUCCUAUGGGAAAUUCCAUUAUAUGUUAGCAUUAAGCUAGCAGGCUUUAGCUUUACUGCUGCUAUGCGUUAAGUCACCAAAAAAAGAAAGACCUAAAAGAUCGAUUUCUACUUUUAUGAAUUGAUUAUUCAUUUAUUAAGCUUUGAUUGAUUCAGAUCAUACAUUCAUCCUCUAAAACCGAUUAUGUCCCUUUCGGGGUCAUGGGUCUGCUGGAGUCCAUCCCAGCCACUCGUGGGCAAAGGCAGGGACACCCUGGACAGGUCACUAAACUGUCUCAGGGCCACAAUAACACACCCAUGCACUCUCACACUCACACGUGGGACAAUUUAGAUUAACCAAUUAACCUAUGAAGCAUGUUUUUGGACAUUGGGAGGAAGCCGGAGACCCCGGAGCGAACAGGGAGAACAUGCAAACUCCACACAGAAAGGUCCCCCCGAUUCUGAUUGAUUAACCAAUUUGAUCAAACCAGCCCAAUGUAUUGAUAUUUUUUACAUGUGCAUUGCGGUUUGGGUCACACGUAACUUGCUGGUCUAAUAUAAAAGAACAAUUGUAUCCAAGAUGACAGCAAACACUUUAAUGACUUUGGAGGAGGAAAAGGCUCCUAAAUAUUAGAAAAAUCUGUUUAAAAGGUGCUACAUGCACAUGGUAUCUAUAAAAGGGGGGUGGCAGCGGCUCAGGUGGUAGAGCAGGUUGUCCGAUGACCGAAGGGUCGGCGGCUCUACCCUGCUCCACCCAGCCAGCCGUCAUUGUGUCCUUGGGCAAGAGUUCACCCUUCCUGCCUCCAGCGCGGCUCCACUGGUGUGUGAAUGUGUAUGAAUGUUCCGGUGAUGGUCAGAGGGACCGUAGGUGCUAACUGGCAGCCACGCCUCUGUAAGUCUACACUAGGGCAGCUGAGGCUACAUCAGUAGUUACCAUCACCAAGUAUGAAUGACAAGUGAAUAAGGGACACAUUGGAAGCACUUUUGAGCACCAAGAAAAAGUGCUGAUAAAUCGAAUCCAUUAUUAUCAUUAUCAAGGAGAAACUAUGGAUUUUACGGCCAAGAGAUGGAAAACUUCUUUCAGUAACUGCCUCAAAUGGUGGUUUUAUUUGAGUGGUGAGUCCAAGACAAUUGUUGAGACGUACCAACACAGCAUCACAAUGGACUUAAGUUAGGUAAACGUUGGUUUUCAUCCAACGUGCUACAGAAGACUCCAAGUGCUUGGAUUCAUCUGAGAAGCAAUAGACAACAACCAGGUGUCCAUGAAGCAGAGAGCAGUGAGCCUGUGCCGGGAUCAACAACUAAAGCUUCUAGAAAGAAAGUCUGGUCCACAAUGGGGUUACCUGUUGUUUCCUCUGGUCCUGUUCAGCCUGUCCUUUUCAUCAUAUGAAGAAUCAUCUCUCACUGGCACAGACCUUAUCAGUAGGUCUGUAGCUCUAAGCUGUUGAGAUGAAGGAAUACACUGGGAUUCUGUUGCACAUAAAACUACAAACUAUGCGGCUGUUGAAGUCCAACUCGUCGUGCUACCGUCAGUACACCGGGUUCUUGAACAUGCCCACAGUUACUGGGACCACAGAAGAAGAAAGAAAUGAGGCAGCCUUUGAUGUGAGCAGAUCAUCAGGCAUGGAAUACCUGUAAAUGUGCUGAGGAUGAAAGGUCCUCCUUUGGUGAAAGAGCAUGAGAAGGUUGAUGCUUCAGACGACAAGAAGUGCAACAGAAAUACCAACAUUGUCUUUGCUUUGGAGAAAAAUGCACUCCAGCAAUUCUAUAUGAUAAAUAAAUGACUGCAUAAUUCUGAAGCAAUCCAAAGCUCAUCAUGAA